ACAUAUGUGAGAAAGCCUUUCACAUAAACACCUUUAUACAACACAUAUUCAUACCUUGCUAAUCAUACACUUUGCAUGCAUAAUAAGAUGUAAGGGUGCAUAUAAGAGUUAACCUUUCAAUAGACACCAUAACACAUCAUAUUCAUAGCUAUACAUGUAGAGUGUGUGUGUGCAUAUUGGUCCUCAUAGUGACAUAAUAGAAACAACAUUG
rnacentral:lncRNA from 1 species